rnacentral:rRNA from 1 species
UACAGAGGUGGCAAGCGUUGUUCGGAAUUACUGGGCGUAAAGGGCGCGUAGGCGGUCCCGUCAGUCCCUUGUGAAAUCCCCCGGCUCAACUGGGGAACUGCAAGGGAUACAGCGGGGCUUGAGUUCGGGAGAGGGAAGCGGAAUUCCGGGUGUAGCGGUGAAAUGCGUAGAUAUCGGGAGGAACACCAGAGGCGAAGGCGGGUUACUGGGCUGAUACUGACGCUGAUGCGCGAAAGCUAGGGGAGCGAACGGG